CCUACGGGUGGCUGCAGUGAGGAAUAUUGGUCAAUGGGCGGGAGCCUGAACCAGCCAAGUCGCGUGAGGGAAGACGGUCCUAUGGAUUGUAAACCUCUUUAGGCGGGGAGCAAUGCCGGGCCCGCGUGCCCGGAGGGAGAGUACCCGCAGAAUACGCAUCGGCUCACUCCGUGCCCGCAGCCGCGGUAAUACGGAGGAUGCGAGCGUUAUCCGGAUUUAUUGGGUUUAAAGGGUGCGUACGCGGAUUUUUAAGUCAGCUGUGAAAGUCCGCGGCUCAACCGUGGAAUUGCAGUUGAAACUGGAGGUCUUGAGUGCACACAGGGAUGCCGGAAUUCAUGGUGUAGCGGUGAAAUGAGUAGAUAUCAUGAAGAACUCCGAUCGCGAAGGCAAGUGUCCGGGGUGCAACUGACGCUGAGGCUCGAAAGUGCGGGUAUCAAACAGGAUUAGAUACCCUGGUAGUC
rnacentral:rRNA from 1 species